AUUGAACGCUGGCGGCAGGCCUAACACAUGCAAGUCGAGCGGAUGAAGGGAGCUUGCUCCUGGAUUCAGCGGCGGACGGGUGAGUAAUGCCUAGGAAUCUGCCUGGUAGUGGGGGAUAACGUCCGGAAACGGGCGCUAAUACCGCAUACGUCCUGAGGGUGAAAGUGGGGGAUCUUCGGACCUCACGCUAUCAGAUGAGCCUAGGUCGGAUUAGCUAGUUGGUGGGGUAAAGGCCUACCAAGGCGACGAUCCGUAACUGGUCUGAGAGGAUGAUCAGUCACACUGGAACUGAGACACGGUCCAGACUCCUACGGGAGGCAGCAGUGGGGAAUAUUGGACAAUGGGCGAAAGCCUGAUCCAGCCAUGCCGCGUGUGUGAAGAAGGUCUUCGGAUUGUAAAGCACUUUAAGUUGGGAGGAAGAGCAGUAAGUUAAUACCUUGCUGUUUUGACGUUACCAACAGAAUAAGCACCGGCUAACUUCGUG
rnacentral:rRNA from 1 species